CAGAGUCGGCGAGAUCGGAAAAAACCAAGCACACACGAAACACGCCUUGCGUUCGUGGUAAUACCGUUCUCUGCAGGGUGUCGCCGAACUGACCGGGGCAGGGUCUCGGAAGCUUUUCGCGUCGAUGACCCUUCUCUGUCCCGAGGGAGGGUGAGAUGCGAAUCUGCAGCUGCAAACAUCACAGGGUUCGUCCGAACUACUGAACUGCCGGCAUUUUGGCCUUUCCGAAGGCAGUCUCGGGGACCUGGAGGAAAAGCAACCCGGAGAAGCUUAAAGCAGCAGCAGGGCCCAGCGGACAGAGCGCAGGCCGGGGAGUCGGGGGGACCUGGGUUCUAAUCCCGACUCCGCCACUCGCCUGCUGUGUGACCGCGCUUCACUUCUCUACGCUCCAGCCACCUCCUCUGUAAAACGGGGAUUGAGACGGCGGGCCCCCGCGUGGGCCGUGUCCAAACCAGCUCCGCCGUCCGUCUCCCCCGUUUAGACCGCGAGCCCGUCACCGGGCGGGGAUCGUCUCUCUCUGUUGCCGAGCUGUCCAUUCCAAGCGCUUAGUACAGCGCUCUGCACAUAGCAAGCGCUCAGUAAAUACUACUGAAUGGAGGAAUCUAUCCCCGCGCUCGCUACCGCGCGCGGGACAUAGUAAGGGCUUAACGGAUACCGUGAAAAAAAAAGGAAGAGGGACGGCGGGACAGUGGGUCCGUGAGUAACGACGCGGAGAUCUUUUCCUGAUCGCGUUUUCCUGUUAAGCGUUAGCUCAGGAAAACUUGGUCACUCUGGGGAGAAGCACCCGAGCCCACAUGAAAUCGUUCUGCAGGUCCUUCGCAAGAUGACUCUCCCCACUGUCUAUCGCAUCCCUGCACUGAACAAUCCUUUCCACGACGCAGGCUUCUACCUGGAGGGAAGCGCGCCGAAGAGCGCGCCGAUCCGACGGGGAGUCGAAAGCACCGACAGGUCCCCGGGUUUCUAAUUUAAUCUGUUUUACCUACCCCAGCGUAAGCACAGUACUACAGAGAAGCAGCGUGGCUCGGUGGCAGGAGCCCGGGCUUUGGAGUCAGAGGUCGCGGGUUCGAACCCCGGCUCGGCCGCCUGUCGGCCGUGUGACUUUGGGCGAGUCGCUUCACUUCUCGGCGCCUCGGCGACCUCAUCUGGAAAAUGGGGAUUGAGACUCUGAGCCCCACGUGGGACAACCUGAUCCCCCCCCCGUGUCUACCCCAGCGCUUAGAACGGUGCUCGGCACGUAGCACGCGCUGAACAAAUACCAACGUUAUUAUUACCAGGCGCUAGGAAGUGCUUGAUAAACACCACGGUCACGAUCUCUCACCAGCGGGCACCUGGCAUUUUCUCUUUCUUUCACCGCAAAGGUCAACCUUUGCUCUUCUUCACCCCCAGCAAAUACGCUUCUUUCUCUACAUCCUUACGUCCGAUGACGGAAUGCUCGAUUUUACAUUGGGAUCUGUCGCUUUGGGGCAGAACACCGUUACCGGGAGCUGGGGGAAGAAGGGAGGAAAAAAACGUAACCCCUCGUGGUGAAUUUGCAAUCUAAUGAGAUGUUCCGCAGGACUCGCUCAGCGCCGUCCUCCGGGUUUCUCGAGAUGACUGUCUUCGGCGCUGGGCUUCCAACUUGCCCUUUUGACCUCUCCUAAUUACCUUAAGGUCGGCGUGCGUUCUCAUUUUCGGGAAUAACGACGAUAGCCUCUGUUCCGUGCCGAGCACCGUUCUAGGUAAUGAGAGAUCGAAGCCCGGCGUGUAAGUCAUCCCUGCCGAAAGGCGACUUUUCACGACGGGAAGUCCGGUGGACUUAGAAGGGGGUUCCUGGAGACCGGCGAGUCGGAUCGCUCCCGGUCGGAACCCAUUUCAUCACGGGAGUGGUGUUCCAAACGGGCGACCGGAUCCGGAACCGACGUUGAAUACUUUACUUCCAGUCGACGGCAUUUACCGAGCGCUUACUGUAUGAGGAGCACUGUACUAAUCGCUUGGGAGAGCGCAGUACAACACAGAGCUGGCAGACACAACUAGUUGGCUUACAGUCUGGAGGGGAAGAUUCCUAAGUCCCCAGCGUCGCGUACUCGACUGUAGGAAGUAUACGCUGUGUGAUCUUGGGCAGGUCACUUGACUUUAUUCUAUCAUUCUAUAUCUUAUUAAUGAUGUGUAUAUAUCUAUAAUUCUAUUUAUAUCGUCGCUAUUGAUGCCUACUUGUUCUGUCGUCUGUCUCCCCCACUCUAGACCGUGAGUCCGUUGUCGGGUAGAUCAUUCAUUCAAUAGUAUUUAUUUAUUUAUUUGAGCGCUUACUAUGUGCAGAGCACCGUACUAAGCGCUUGGGACGAACAAGUCGGCAACGGAUAGAGACGGUCCCUGCCGUCUGACGGGCUUACGGUCUGAUCGGGGGAGACGGACAGACGAGAACGAUGGCAAUAAACAGAGUCGAGGGGAAGAACGUCUCGUAAAAACCGAUGGCGACUGAAUAGAAUCGAGGCGAUGUACAAUUCAUUAACAAAAUAAAUAGGGUGACGAAAAUAUAUACGGUCGAGCGGCGAGUACGGUGCCGUGGGGAUGGGGAGGGAGAGGUGGAGGAGCAGAGGGAAAAGGGGAAAAAGAGGGUUAGCUGCGGAGAGGCGAAGGGGGGGCGGCAGAGGG
rnacentral:lncRNA from 1 species